AGUGAACGCUGGCGGUAGACCUAACACAUGCAAGUCGAACGGCAGCACAGUAAGAGCUUGCUCUUACGGGUGGCGAGUGGCGGACGGGUGAGGAAUACAUCGGAAUCUACUUUUUCGUGGGGGAUAACGUAGGGAAACUUACGCUAAUACCGCAUACGACCUACGGGUGAAAGCAGGGGAUCUUCGGACCUUGCGCGAUUGAAUGAGCCGAUGUCGGAUUAGCUAGUUGGCGGGGUAAAGGCCCACCAAGGCGACGGUCCGUAGCUGGUCUGAGAGGAUGAUCAGCCACACUGGAACUGCGACACGGUCCAGACUCCUACGGGAGGCAGCAGUGGGGAAUAUUGGACAAUGGGCGCAAGCCUGAUCCAGCCAUACCGCGUGGGUGAAGAAGGCCUUCGGGUUGUAAAGCCCUUUUGUUGGGAAAGAAAAGCAGCAGGUUAAUACCCCGCUGUUCUGACGGUACCCAAAGAAUAAGCACCGGCUAACUUCGUG
rnacentral:rRNA from 1 species